UCUUCGCACCGCACCGCUAGCUGGGGACAAAUACACGGAUGCAAUACAUAUAUUUGACGCCUCCUGGCUUUCCUCUUUGCACAUUUCCGGAACAAUCGCUCACUUGGAAGAUUCCAGGUUAAGAACAUUUGCCCGUUUGGGAAGAUUCGUUCAACGAUGGUGACUAUUCGCCGUUUGGCUCGACUACUCGGUCUUUGAACUUCUAUUUUGUGUUAGUUUUAUUGCGUUUGUGUUUGUGUGUGUGUGAUUAAAUUGUCUUUUUUUUGUUUGUCAUUUUAUUGUUGUAACCAUUGUUUAAGAAGGACAGGAAGUGACGUGUUGGGGAGAGAGAGAAAGAAAAAAGGCUAGACUGAGGGCAAGGUACAAGUGGUUGUUGGAGGACAACGAAAGGACAAAGGACGUGAACGGUGGACAUUUGUCAAAAGUUGAUCGACGUGUUCGACAAGGACUGUUGAAAGUUCAAGUGGGAUAGUGUGUCGUUUUGAGUGGACUACUCAAAUCACGCCGUAACAUGGUGGAGUUAGGCGCUACCACAGGGGCUAAGUGCACGCAUGGGACUUGGCUUGGCUAACGCUAGUUAGCAAGGCCUGUGUGUUGGAGCGCGAAGGAGGGGACAAGGGCGCUAGCGUCGAGCUAACGCGCCUAGCAAGGCCUGUUAUUUCAGAGACCUUUGAUAGAGAAUUAAAUGCACAAGUAAAGAGUAAAGUUGUCAUAGACAUUCCUACUUUGGAGUGAGGAAAGGACUCAGGAGGCUACCUCGUCGAAGUAUUUUAUACAAGAGGGGCGCUACACUGGUUUGUGCGAAGGGGGAUUUUAGUCUAAAUUCACACAAUGUAUCUUAACACUUUUCCCUUCGGCAGUAAAAGAACUUCUGUGCUCCAGAGCAGUCGUGACAUGUCUCUAACUUGCAUUCAGUACAGGACCAGAGGAGAUUUUGGAGUGUUUGGGCACUACCCGAAGAGAAGUAGUCCAAACAACACGUGAAGCUUCGAUUUUCGAAGCAGACGGCGGCAAAGGCUGUCUUUUCUUCUGUCCUCUUUGCUCAAAUUCAAGUGCGGUAAAGUGAGAUUUACAAUCCAUUUAGGGAAGACUGCGCAAAUGAAAGCUUUUCUGCUCAGAUGCAUUUGUGCACUUUGAAGUAAAAAAAAAAAAUAAAUAAAAUAAAAUAACGCGAGUCUCUGGUUGCAUGCACAAUAGGGCCAUUUUUCCCCACUCAAGUCUUUGCACUUUCAAACACGAGGACAGCAAAGGAAAAGUUUGUGCGUGCAUGUGUGUUCUUAUCACCUGAUUGUUAUCAAAAGACUUUUAUUAACAUGUACUGUGUGUAUUGGUGGCAGGCUGUACAUUUAGUACUUGGGCUUCCACUAUCACAUCGCAAGUAUACACCUCUUGCGCCUACGUCAUAAAAUCACGUGACUUUUGCUUACGUCGCCAUGUUGGUGGUCAAGCUAAGCAUUGCUCAAUGCUCAGUCAGUUGGAGACGACACGGAAAUAUCUCUUGUAGCACGACGCCCAGAGUCUUGUCCGAUACCGUCAGACAUUUAGAAGGAAAUUGGACUGUUGGUUCGCUUCCGCUUGUCUUGGACAACUGGAUCUACACACGGAUCUGGAAUAUAUCCCACAUAGUGACGGUUUUGACGGCUCGUGAACGCGGAAGCGUGUUCGGCCACACGUUAACCUUUGCCGGAAUCCAUCGAUCUUUCCCUCGCCUCUUAUCGUGCUCGGCGCCUACAAGGAGUCGGGCCCGACUCCAACGCGAAGCGAGAAGCAUUUUCAAAGGACUAUUUUCAAAUUGCAGACCCCGGUUGGGUCCUGAUGAGGGGGCCGUGAUGGGCGCCAAUCACGACCAAGCCGUCGGCCUCGCGUCGCGCCUGGAAAAUGACCUCUCAUCUUCCGCACGGAGAAACGUAACAAUCUCUCGAGGAUUCAAUUUUUGCAUCAUCAGAAAAAGGCGGGCGGGAAAACGAGGAUGCAGAAUGACGACCUCUUCAAGUUGUGUGAUCAACGAUGAAAACACGGCAGACCUGGCGCAAAAUAUGAAUCUAGAUUUCAAGGCAGAAUACAUCUAUCUCUAUUAAUUUAAUCAAAGUACAGCGGGGCCUUGAAAUACGACUUUUCUUAUAGACAUGUGCAGUAUUAAUUGAAUUAUUGUUAAUUGUUAGUGGUGGUAAAGAGGGAGCUAAGUCGAAAGGCCAAGUUCUCAAUUUACCAGUCGCUCUACGUUCCUCCCCUCGCCUAUGGGCACGAGCUGUGGGUCGUGACCGAAAGAACAAGAUCCUGGAUCCAAGCGGCCGAAAUGAGUUUCCUACACACCUGCAUUUAAUGAACCCCAGUCCUUGUAGGACCCAGCGGACGGUCCGGCUUUGCCAGAUCGUUGCCAUCGAUGCCUCGUACCUCCCGGUGUACCGACCCCCUGCCUGUCUCCUGACCUACGCCGAGAGCCUGACGUCAUUAUCACCGCCGCUCUCGUGGACCGACUGCCUGGUUACCGACUCUGGACUGUGUAAAGAUAUUUCCUGAACUGCCUCCACGUUUACAGAGUCGUGCAUUUGGGUCCAACUCCGCGUUCUGGUUAUGACACUCCCUUAGAGAGAGGGUGAGAAGCUCGGUCGUCCGGGAGGGGCUCAGUGCCGAGCCGCUGCUCCUCCGCAUUGAGAGGCGCCAGAUGAGGUGGCUGGGGCAUUUGAUUCGGAUGCUUCCCUCACGCCUCCCUGGUGAGGUGUUCCGGGCACGUCCCACCAGAAAGAAACCCCGGGGACGACCCAGGACACGCUGGAGAGACUAUGUCUCUCGGCUGGCUUGGGAACGCCUCGGGAUCCCUCCGGAAGAAGCUGGAAGAAGCGGCUGGGGAAAGGGAAGUCUGGGUAUCCCUGCUGAAGCUAAGUCCCCCCGCGACCCGACCCGGAAAAGCGGUACAAAAUGGAUGGAUUGAUUGUUCGUGGUUCAGAGGUCUCUUACAUGCUUCAGCCUCUCCUGCAGACGUAAUAGGCUAAAUUCUCCACUGGAGUCCCAAUUCCCACCCCAAACUCCGAUUUGAAAAUAAAUGGGUUGCAUCAAGAAUGGUGUCCGGGAUCAGAACCGUGCCAAAGCAAUAACGAAUAGCGAUUUGCUGUGCCAAGCCGUGAUCGGACCAGCCAAAAGUCGCAACAACCACAACAACAGUUACUGUUUAUUUUUAUAGUAAAUUUCUUUUGGCUUGUCCCGUUAAGGGGGCCGCCACUUGUAUGAUAACAAAAAUGUGACAGCAAUUUUUUUUUCCUUCGCAUUUCCCCCCCCCCCCCCGAAGCAGUGAUUUGGCUUGUUUUCACACCCGCACGACAGUUGAAACGACCACUUUGAAAAUGUUGCUAACGAUUUCUAUUAUGCAGUAUCGAUUUCUUAGUCCUUGAGAAAAGCGCAUUCUCUCGCUUGCGUCACGUAUGUUUGCGCUCAUGAUCCUGCUGGUUCUCUGUGUGUGUGUGGGGGGGGGGGGCAAGUCCCAUUGUCCCCUUUGGAAGGAGGGAUGGAAAGAAUAAAAA